rfam:Photobacterium marinum strain AK15 contig4, whole genome shotgun sequence.
CCAGUUAUGCGACUAACUGUAGUCUAGGGAUAGUGCGAUGCGGGUAACUGCAUGGUGCGGAGCUUCCUGACAAUGUACCCCUGCGCAAGCGGUGCUUUAAUCCGUGAGGAUGGCAUAGCUGACUAACAAUAAGUCGGCUGGGGG